AACGAACGUUAGCGGCGCGCCUAACACAUGCAAGUCGAACGCGACAGGGGCAACUCUGUUGAGUGGCGCACGGGUGAGUAACACGUAGGUAAUCUCCCCCCGAGUGGUGGAUAACCUUCCGAAAGGAGGGCUAAUACAGCAUAAGACCACGGCUUCGAAAGGAGCUGAGGUCAAAGCGGAGGAUCGCAAGACUUCGCGCUUGGGGAUGAGCCUGCGGCCCAUCAGGUAGUUGGCGGGGGUAACAGCCCACCAAGCCUAAGACGGGUAGCUGGGCUGAGAGGAUGAUCAGGCACACUGGAACUGGGACACGGUCCAGACGCCCACGGGAGGCAGCAGUGGGGAAUCUUGCGAAAUGGACGAAAGUCUGACGCAGCGACGCCGCGUGGGUGAUGAAGGCCUUCGGGUUGUAAAGCCCUGUGGGGAGGGACGAAUAAGUUUCAGCUAAUACCUGAAGCGAUGACGGUACCUCCUUAGCAAGCACCGGCUAACUCUGUGCCAGCCGCCGCCGUAA
rnacentral:rRNA from 1 species